AAAAGAGCGUAGAGUGAAUGCCUUGGCAUUGGGAGCCGACGAAGGACGUGGUUAACUGCGAAAAGCUACGGGGAGUCGUAAGCAGACAUUGAUCCGUAGAUGUCCGAAUGGAGCAAUCCGCAUGGAGUUAGUCUAUGCAUCCAUAAGUGAAUUCAUAGCUUAUGGAGGGGAACCGCCUGAACUGAAACAUCUAAGUAGGGCGAGGAAGAGAAAUCAAACGAGAUUUCGUAAGUAGUGGCGAGCGAACGCGAAAGAGGCUAAACCAAGAGAAGAAAUUCUUUUGGGGUUACGGACUGCGAUAUGUAUCUGAGGACUUAGCAGAAUGGUAUGGGAAAGCCAACCAGAGAAUGUGAUAGUCAUGUAUGCGAAAAGGAAUCAGAGCUAGCAGGAUCCAAAGUACCGCGGGACACGAGGAAUCCCGUGGGAAGUCGGGGGGACCACCCUCCAAGCCUAAAUACUACCCAAUGACCGAUAGCGAAAAGUACUGUGAAGGAACGGUGAAAAGAACCCCGGGAGGGGAGUGAAAAGAACCUGAAACUCUAUGCUUACAAGCACAUAGAGCACGUCAAAGUGUGAUAUGGUACCUUUUGUAGAAUGGUCCGGCGAGUUAUUGUAUGCAGCAAGGUUAAGGUCUUCAGGACUGAAGCCGAAGCGAGAGCGAGUCUGACAAGGGCGAUAAGUUGCAUGCAAUAGACCCGAAACCGGGUGACCUAGCCAUGUUCAGGUUGAAGUGGAGGUAAAGCUCCAUGGAGGACCGAACCGACCUCCGUUGAAAAGGCGGCGGAUGAAAUGUGGCUAGCGGAGAAAUUCCAAUCGAACCCGGAAAUAGCUGGUUCUCCCCGAAAUAGCUUUAGGGCUAGCGUUGUAUUAGAUUUCUGGGGGUAAAGCACUGAAUAGGCUAGGGGCCGAGAGGUUACUGAACCUUAUCAAACUAAGAAUACCAGAAAAUUGAUGUACAGCAGUCAGACUAUGUGAGAUAAGUCUCAUAGUCAAAAGGGAAACAGCCCAGACCCACAGCUAAGGUCCCAAAACAGAUUUAAGUGGAAAAGGAUGUGGGAUUGCCCAGACAACCAGGAUGUUGGCUUAGAAGCAGCCACACAUUAAAAGAGUGCGUAAUAGCUCACUGGUCGAGUGAUCCUGCGCCGAAAAUUCAACGGGGCUAAAAUUUGUACCGAAGCUUGGGCUUGAUACAUUCGUAUCAGGGGUAGGGGAGCGUCAUGUAUGAGGUGAAGUCGUAGCGAAAGCGGCGGUGGAUUGUACAUGAGAGAGAAUGCCGGAAUGAGUAGCGAGAAUUAUGUGAGAAUCAUAAUGGCCGAAAAUCUAAGGUUUCCUGAGGAAGGUUCGUCCGCUCAGGGUAAGCCGGGAGCUAAGGUGAGGCGGAAACGCGUAGCCGAUGCACAUACGGUAGAGAUUCCGUAGCCUCCGAAAAGUAAAGCACAGGGACGCUUCAGAAGUGUUACGCCGGGCGAUGGUUGCCCCGGUUGUAAAGGACACAAUUGAGUGGAAGGUAACAUGGAUGGAGACAAGAAAAGCUGUGUGUAUCUGGAAGGAGCCCGUACCGCAAACCGACACAGGUAGAUAGGAAGAAGAUUCUAAGGCCAGCGGGAGAAGGGUUGUUAAGGAACUCGGCAAGUUGACCCCGUAACUUCGGGAGAAGGGGUGCUUACGAAGGUAAGCCGCAGAGAAUAGGCCCAAGCGACUGUUUAGCAAAAACACAGCUCUAUGCUAAAUCGAAAGAUGACGUAUAUGGGGUGACACCUGCCCGGUGCUGGAAGGUUAAGAGGAGAUGUGAGAGCAUUGAAUUGAAGCCCCAGUAAACGGCGGCCGUAACUAUAACGGUCCUAAGGUAGCGAAAUUCCUUGUCAGGUAAGUUCUGACCCGCACGAAUGGCGUAAUGAUUUGGGCACUGUCUCAACAGCCCGCCCGGCGAAAUUGUAGUACUGGUGAAGAUGCCAGUUACCCGCAACUAGACGGAAAGACCCCAUGGAGCUUUACUGCAGCUUAAUACUGAAAUUCGGUAGUACAUGUACAGGAUAGGUGGGAGACUGAGAAAUACAGGCGUCAGCUUGUAUGGAGUCGCUGUUGGGAUACCACUCUUGUACUGCUGGGUUUCUAACCUGCGGCCGUGAAUCCGGUCGGGGGACACUGUUAGGCGGGCAGUUUGACUGGGGCGGUCGCCUCCAAAAGAGUAACGGAGGCGCUCAAAGGUUGGCUCAGCACGGACGGAAAUCGUGCAAUGAGUGUAAACGUAUAAGCCAGCCUAACUGCGAGACCGACGGGUCGAGCAGUAACGAAAGUUGGAGUUAGUGAUCCGGUGGUAUGUGAGUGGAAAUGCCAUCGCUCAACGGAUAAAAGCUACCCUGGGGAUAACAGGCUGAUCUCCCCCAAGCGUCCACAGCGACGGGGAGGUUUGGCACCUCGAUGUCGGCUCGUCACAUCCUGGGGCUGUAUUCGGUCCCAAGGGUUCGGCUGUUCGCCGAUUAAAGUGGCACGCGAGCUGGGUUCAGAACGUCGUGAGACAGUUCGGUCCCUAUCUGUUGCGGGCGUAAGAGAUUUGAAGGGAGCUGUCCUUAGUACGAGAGGACCGGGAUGGACGUACCUCUGGUGCACCAGUUGUCCUGCCAAGGGCAUAGCUGGGUAGCUAUGUACGGACGAGAUAAACGCUGAAAGCAUCUAAGCGUGAAACUCCCCCUAAGAUGAGAUCUCUCAUCCUUCAAGGAGUAAGGACCCAGAAAGACGAUCUGGUUGAUAGGCCGAAGGUGGAAGCGCAGUAAUGUGUGCAGCUGAUCGGUACUAAUAGUCCGAGGGCUUGACCU
rnacentral:rRNA from 1 species